AAGCCACCACCUGCUCAGAGUUACAUGUCAGAGCACUUUGCUAUCCCUCCCUCAGUAUCACUGAGAAGCAGCAGUAACUUAGUUCCCUUAUCUAGGGCAGCCAGCAGGAUGGCCACAGGGAAAUCAAAGGCGGGGUACGGGGUGGGGGUGGAAGCAGCAGGAGAAAACAACUUCCCGGUUUCUCUUUGCAGCUUAAGAAACUCUCUGGGGGUCUGGGGGAGCUUUCAAGUUGCUUUAUUUUGGUUAGUCCCUGAGAUGUGUGACUGGUGGAACACAGCCACCAGGGGGAUAAACAGUGGUUUCUCUUGGCCCUAAGGGUCAGGGGCCAGCUGUUCUGAAGGAAGCCAGCUUUUAACUGGCCCAGACGGUUCCCACAGCAACUCGGAUGGUAGGUCAGAAGGCCAUACCCUCCCCGCCUAGGAACUCGGUCAGUGGACUCCAAGGCAGAGUCUGUGGGAUUCAUCUCCAAAUGGACUAGAGGAGCUGCGACGUGGUGAUGGAUGAGGAGGUGGCCAAGAGAGAGACUCCAGCCAACACAGGUCAAGGCUUGCCAUCCCCACAUUUCCCCACUGUCCGUCCUGCGAAGAGCUGCAGGACCCAAGGGAGCACACAAAAGCUCUGGUCCUUAUCAAGCUGUGAGAUUCCCUGCUCUGGCCUGAGUGACACAGCUGCCACCCACUUGUCUCCAGGUGAAUCAGCCGUCACACUCUCAAGUUCACAAGAUGCCAGCAGCACCCCCUAUAUCAGGAGAAUUAAAAAUACCUCCUGGCAUUGCCAAAUGCCUCAGGGGCAAAAUCAUCCCCGGUUGAGAACCACUGAUAAAGAGAUUCUCAGCCCUUCCCCAACCCCUGGACCACCAUACAACACCCACCGAUGCCUCCAGCUCCCCGGGUGAGGGACCAGGAAUAGGAACCCAGAUGACAUCAGUGCACAGAGGAGGCAAAACUUGCCGAAACUCGAGAAUCAUUGCCUGGAGGCUCACAACGCUCUGCUAUGUCUUCUAAAUGUUUUUAAAGGGUUAAAUUAUUGUCAAUACAUUUUCCUGGCUAAAAUGUUUUUUGAGAAUUUGUAUUCUCUAUGGUUAGUACUUACAGUAAGUGCCUAGAAACCAGAGUUUGUCAUUUGUCAACAUAUAUGUAUAUAUAUGUAUACCUUUGUGUGUAUGUAUAUACAUACAUACAUAUAUUUACAAUCGCUAUCAGCCUUAUAAAAAUUUAGCAUAUUACUACGGCUUUAUUUUAUUCUCUAGCUCUUUCACCUCAUCAGUGAGAGUGUAAUUUCCCAAAGUAUAGAGACAUUGUAUUGCCUUAACGUUUUUAUACCUGCUUCAUCCCUAGAAUGUUUGGCCCUCCAACCUUGACCUUCACCUGCGGUGGUUUCCCAGUGACGCUACCUAUGUUCCACUUACGGGAGGCUGAGCAUUUUUUCAGGUUAGCAAUGGCCGUGACAUACUCUGGUCCCAAAUAUUUUUCAUAUGUUGUUUUGCCUCCAAGUUUGGCCAGACACUCAGUGUUGUCAUUGAACAGAAGGUUUUUGGUCUCAGACUGGAAUAAGCAAAACUUGCUCGGGCAGUGUUUUCCAUUUUUCCCAAACUGAGCCUGUGUCAAAAGGGCAGACAGUAAGAGAGCAGCGGAGGAAAACAGGAGAGGUUAUGGAUUCGGGGAGGCCAAGGGCAUUUCUUCUGCACAGGAUCAGCCACAGGAAAACCAUGGGGCAAAAGGAGCUAAGUUCUGGAAUCACUCUACUGUCCUGGCUAAGUCUUCCCCUGCCCCAUGGCCCCCUGCUCCACACCCCAGCCCAGUGCCCAGGCCCCUCACCACUUCUGAUCUCACCUCCCACCAUCUUGCCUUUCUUUUUAAUCUGUGGCCUCUUCCCUUAGAACUUCCUAUGUGUGACUAGGUGACAGCUGAGGAUUUUGAGAUCCACCCCCAAAGUAAUCACCUCUAGCAUUCUAAGAGGCCAGCUGUCCCAGAGAGGCAGACUGCAUUGGAAAUCCUCUCUGCCACGGACCCAGUCAUUGCCUUGGGCAGGUCACUUAGCCUCCCUUGGGCCUGGUUCCUCCUCCAUGCCCAGGCCUCCCACGGAGGUGAGCUGCAAGAACCAAGCACCUGCAUGGAAGCAGACCUCUUACGAGCACCUGUGAGUGUGCACAGCGGGGGCUCCAUAAAUGCUAGUUAUUGUGCCAAUUUUUACAUUCCAGGGCCACUUUCUUUAACGCACAUCUAGAAACAUGCCAUUUUAAUACAGAGCUAGAUGUCCUAAUAGAGAAUCCCAGACUUCAAGGAAAUUAUAGGAUUUCCUUCAAACCACUUCACGUAGAUAGCCUUAAAUCUAUACAAGUUCUGGGUUUGUUGUUUUUAGAGAUUACAAAUGCAGGGGCCCUGUCUAGAACAUCCCCAGUCGGCCCGGGCUCUGGAAACAUCAGCAGAGUAAAUCACUCUCUACCUGGCUAUGGGAGGAAGGCUCAGUCGCCUCCCUCAUUUGCCUGAAGAACAACAGGAGGCUCAAGGAGAGAAAGCAUCUCCCAGCCAGACCGUGAGCGCACGUCCAGGGCCAUGAGACUCAGGGCAGCCCCCCAGCAUGGAGCAAAUACUCUCAUCACCAGCUUCAAGCAGAGGGAUGGGACAGAAAGGCCGGGGAUGGGUGGAUUCCCUGAGCUCUGUGAUUGCCCCACCUAACAGGAGCCCCUGCAGGAGGCCCUGGUGACCCAUACCUGUUGAAGGAGCAGCACCUCUUCCACGUGUGCUGCCUUAUCGCUCCGAGAUACCACGGCAUGAUUUGGGGCCACAGCCAGGUAGCAGCUCUCAGCCACUGUCACAGGCUUCCUGGUGCCAUCAAGACACAGCAACUCAAAGUCGUCCCGAUUCAAUUUCCUAGCCCAGUCCGCAGUGUUCUCUCCUGGAGAUAUAAAGAAGGCAGCAUCAGCCACGGCUGCCACUCUGAGUCAAAGCAUCCUUUCUGGGUGGCUGUGACCAUCCACCGGCCUCUUGAAAUGCACACAUUGGGGUUGCAGUGAUGUGAAGGAGAGCAAAUAAAGCUCCACAAGAUACACAAACUUCAAACAUAUCAAGCAUUAGUGCUAUAUCCUCACGAUGGAGUAUUACUCAGCAAUAAAAAGGAGUCAAGUUCUGACACACGCUACGACGUGGAUGAACCUUGAAAACAUUACGCUAAGUAAAAGAAGGCAGUCACAAAAGAUCACAUAUCGUAGGACUCCAUUUAUGUGAAAUGUCCUGAAUACGCAAAUCUAUGGAGACAGAAAGUGAAUUGAUGGUUGCCAGCUCUGGGGGAGUGGGGAAGGGACUGAUAAUAGGUGUGGGGUUUCUUUAAGGGGUUUUGUGAAAGUUCUAGAAUUGGAUUCUGUUGGCAGCUGCACAACUUUGAAUGUGCUGGAGAUCACUGAAUCCCAUUGAAUCUACACUCUGAAUGGGUGGAUUUUGAAGUAUGUAAAUUGUAUCUCCAUAAAGCUGUUACAUUUCUUUAAAAGAAAACCCUCCAUGUAUGCCAGAUUUUCCAGUGAGUUCCAGAAAAAGAAGUGUUGGUUUGUGUUCAAGAAGAAAUUGUUGGGACUUCCCUGGUGGUCCAGUGGGUAAGACUACCAGCUCCUAAGGCAGGGGGCCCGGGUUCGAUCCCUGGUCGGGGAGCUAGAUCCUGCA